UACAUCAUCAUAGCCGUCAUAGCCGUCAAAGCCGUCAAACCCGUCAUCUGCACUGACCUAUGACUCCGUCGACUGGUCGAAGGUGGUGAAAUUAUGGCAUUCACGCUACAAUCGUUUCUUCAUGGGCUUACUUAAAUACAUUAUUGAUUUGCAAAUAGUACGUGGGUAGGCCCUGCCACCAGAACUACCAUUAUCACCUCAUUAAAACUGCUACAGCAAACAAACAGACCAACAAACCCCAGCAGAACGGAGCCCUCCUACAAUUAUGGCCAAAAGUUGUACGAUGCGGCUGAAAUAUAAUCAGUCCUGGCUUCUAUGCUGCACAUAUUAUAUACCAUACCACACAUAAAUACAUAUAUAUGUAUACAUGUGUAAGCACCGAUCAUGCAGUUCUCACCAUAGUAUAUUUGUUCGUUUGUUUGUUUUAAUUAAAAUUACACAACCAUGUCCGUGUCCGUCUCGGUGUCCGUGUCCCUGUUUCAGUCUUUGUUGUGUUCCCUGGCAUCCCGUCCUCCGUCUGGCUCUCUGUCCGUUUAUUUUCCUGCUGUUUUAAUGCUUUUUUAGUAAAUAAUUUAUAUUCAAUUUUCAAAUAAAUUACAAACAAAAAUAGUUAGCAAACAAUCUCCAACGACAAUGGGCUGCAUCACAUUCAAUUGAGAUGCAAAAAUAAACCAUUAAAACACAAUGCAA